UAAUUGAAGAGUUUGAUCAUGGCUCAGAUUGAACGCUGGCGGCAGGCCUAACACAUGCAAGUCGAGCGGUAACAUUUCAAAAACUUGCUUUUGAAGAUGACGAGCGGCGGACGGGUGAGUAAUGGCUGGGAACCUGCCCUGAUGUGGGGGAUAACAGUUGGAAACGACUGCUAAUACCGCAUGAUGUCUACGGACCAAAGAGGAGGACCUUCGGGCUUCUCGCGUCAGGAUGGGCCCAGUUGGGAUUAGCUAGUUGGUGAGGUAAUGGCUCACCAAGGCGACGAUCCCUAGCUGGUUUGAGAGGAUGAUCAGCCACACUGGAACUGAGACACGGUCCAGACUCCUACGGGAGGCAGCAGUGGGGAAUAUUGCACAAUGGGCGCAAGCCUGAUGCAGCCAUGCCGCGUGUGUGAAGAAGGCCUUCGGGUUGUAAAGCACUUUCAGCAGUGAGGAAGGUUACGUAGUUAAUACCUGCGUGAUUUGACGUUAGCUGCAGAAGAAGGACCGGCUAACUCCGUGCCAGCAGCCGCGGUAAUACGGAGGGUCCGAGCGUUAAUCGGAAUUACUGGGCGUAAAGCGCAUGCAGGCGGUUUGUUAAGCAAGAU
rnacentral:ncRNA from 1 species